GGCAGUACAUUCUCAAACAGGCCUUAAAUGGAGAGGUUUUGACGUUGUAGGCCUCCUCCAUUCAAUAAAAUAAAAAUGAAGGUUUCUUGCUUCUUGCUUCUCCUGAUGAUUUGUUUAGCUAUGAUGUUGCAAGAGCAUCAGCCAAGCAUAGGCUACAAAGCAAUGGCCUUAGUCUUGGACCGCAGUCCUGAAAUGGGUAAGGUUAAAAUUGCUUCUACCAACCAUUUCUCCACGGAAGUAAAGGUGGGGCAGCUAGGAAGGACAUCCCGGAGGCCAAUUCCAUCCCCACCUCCCCCAAAACCCAAUAGAUCGGUUCAUUGGUGGGUCGUUACACCGCCACCACCUAUACCAUCGUCGCCGCCGCCCCCAUCUCCACUAUCGUCAUCUAAAGGCGCAUGAAUUUUAGAGUAGCAUAUGAAAACGUUUUCGUUUUCUCUUUUUUAUUUUAUUUUAUUUGCGAGUUCUUGUUAUGGCAAGAGAUGUAUGUAUUUCAUCUUUCUCUAUGGCUAAGUCAUGGCAAUGGAGAGAUGGAAGAUGGAAAAAUCCAAUAAAAAUCUAGCUCAUUUCUUUUA